rnacentral:rRNA from 1 species
CGAAAGCUAUUUAGGUAGCGCCUCGUGAAUUCAUCUCCGGGGGUAGAGCACUGUUUCGGCAAGGGGGUCAUCCCGACUUACCAACCCGAUGCAAACUGCGAAUACCGGAGAAUGUUAUCACGGGAGACACACGGCGGGUGCUAACGUCCGUCGUGAAGAGGGAAACAACCCAGACCGCCAGCUAAGGUCCCAAAGUCAUGGUUAAGUGGGAAACGAUGUGGGAAGGCCCAGACAGCCAGGAUGUUGGCUUAGAAGCAGCCAUCAUUUAAAGAAAGCGUAAUAGCUCACUGGUCGAGUCGGCCUGCGCGGAAGAUGUAACGGGGCUAAACCAUGCACCGAAGCUGCGGCAGCGACACUAUGUGUUGUUGGGUAGGGGAGCGUUCUGUAAGCCUGUGAAGGUGGCCUGUGAGGGUUGCUGGAGGUAUCAGAAGUGCGAAUGCUGACAUAAGUAACGAUAAAGCGGGUGAAAAGCCCGCUCGCCGGAAGACCAAGGGUUCCUGUCCAACGUUAAUCGGGGCAGGGUGAGUCGACCCCUAAGGCGAGGCCGAAAGGCGUAGUCGAUGGGAAACAGGUUAAUAUUCCUGUACUUGGUGUUACUGCGAAGGGGGGACGGAGAAGGCUAUGUUGGCCGGGCGACGGUUGUCCCGGUUUAAGCGUGUAGGCUGGUUUUCCAGGCAAAUCCGGAAAAUCAAGGCUGAGGCGUGAUGACGAGGCACUACGGUGCUGAAGCGACAAAUGCCCUGCUUCCAGGAAAAG